GGAAGUGUGUGCUAGUGAUGGCACAGCUGAACAUUGAUCGCUAACGUAAAUCUUAUGGCAGAUCUGCUCAGUGGGUGUUGUCACGUUGUCGUAAGCUUCAAGUAGCUUGGUGUGUCAGGCUCCCGAUUGCGCGUGCAUCUUCGUGGUUUUCGCAAUCUCGGAUUUGCACGCCUGCACGGUCGAGUCCUUCACGUCGCUCCUCGAAGUACCGCGAUUUCCAAAUUGGGGGGCAAUCGAAUAGGUCAGACGAGGUAAUUUGUCGCUUCCAUAUACAGGCACUGUGGAUUGCAGUAUGCCCUUUUUUUGG
rnacentral:snRNA from 1 species